rnacentral:lncRNA from 1 species
CUACAAGCAACAUGCGAACUGUCUCGUCCAUGUCCCACGUGGCCGCCCUCGUUUCCAUGUAGUAUUACGUCAUAUCCUUAGAAUGUCCUCACCUCUAAUUUGGCUGCUUUGAAACAGUUUUAGCUAUUUUGUCGUGGUUUGUUAUAUGUCGCUUCCGAGGGUAUACAGCUAUGAUAAAUUACCUCGAAAAACAAUAGGAUUCGAGACACCGUGUUCCUACAAGAUUUAAUAUAGCGAUGUGAUUUCACUAUAAUAUAAGAUUAAGAUAUUCUACCGUUCAAACCCACAUAAACCCACAUACCAAAUAAUCCAUUGCAAUCCAUAGAGAUAGCAAUGAGGCUAUCAUGGGCAGGCUGUCAUACAUCAUAAACUUAGCCGAACAAUUCAUUUCUUACAUACGAUGAAAGAGCUUUUAUCUAGCUUUUUAAAAUCGUAACGAUAAGAAAUGGCCACAUACUCGUCAAAUAAAAAUUGCUUGUCGAAAUCACUUUCUUCCACCGUUGGGAAUUGAAAAUACAUUAUUCAUUAAUUAUGCAAAGUUAGUCAAUCCAAAAACAACGCGAGCCUGCUGUAACCUAUUUGUUUCGUAAAAGGUUUUGAUUACGAAUGUUCUCUGUCCAGGGGUUAAUUGAAUCAUGUUUAAAUAAUGGACGUUCUUAUUAAGUAAUCAGUAUAUUGUCUCACUAAGACGAAGAUUGACGAGUCGAGCUCAUUUUAGAUCCCUCUUGGGAAUUGUCUAUGACUGUAUUUCGUUUUCCAUGCAGUUCCCAACGGUGGAAGAAUGUGAUUUCGACCGGCAAUUUUCAUUUGACGAGUAUGCGGCCAUUCCUCAUCGUU